rnacentral:rRNA from 1 species
AUUGAACGCUGGCGGCAGGCUUAACACAUGCAAGUCGAGCGGAGUGAUGGUGCUUGCACUAUCACUUAGCGGCGGACGGGUGAGUAAUGCUUAGGAAUCUGCCUAUUAGUGGGGGACAACAUCUCGAAAGGGAUGCUAAUACCGCAUACGUCCUACGGGAGAAAGCAGGGGAUCACUUGUGACCUUGCGCUAAUAGAUGAGCCUAAGUCGGAUUAGCUAGUUGGUGGGGUAAAGGCCUACCAAGGCGACGAUCUGUAGCGGGUCUGAGAGGAGGAGCCGCCACACUGGGACUGAGACACGGCCCAGACUCCUACGGGAGGCAGCAGUGGGGAAUAUUGGACAAUGGGGGGAACCCUGAUCCAGCCAUGCCGCGUGUGUGAAGAAGGCCUUAUGGUUGUAAAGCACUUUAAGCGAGGAGGAGGCUCUUUUGGUUAAUACCCAAGAUGAGUGGACGUUACUCGCAGAAUAAGCACCGGCUAACUCUGUGCCAGCCGCCGCCGUAA